AGGAGCGUCGGUUAAUUGGCAAACCAACGGUCUCCAAAGCCGUGACUGCAGGUUCGAUUCCUGCCGCUCCUGCCA
rnacentral:tRNA from 1 species